UACGAGAGGCCCAAACGUUAUUCGGAAUUACUGGGCUUAAAGGGUGCGUAGGCGGCGCGGAAAGUAGGGUGUGAAAUCCCUCGGCUCAACCGAGGAAUUGCGCCCUAAACUACCGUGCUCGAGGGAGAUAGAGGUGAGCGGAACUUAGGGUGGAGCGGUGAAAUGCGUUGAUAUCCUAAGGAACACCGGUGGCGAAAGCGGCUCACUGGAUCUCUUCUGACGCUGAGGCACGAAAGCUAGGGUAGCGAACGGGGAUUAGAUACCCCUGAGCUCCG
rnacentral:rRNA from 1 species